GACGAACGCUGGCGGCGUGCUUAACACAUGCAGGUCGAACGGAAAGGCCCUUCGGGGUACUCGAGUGGCGAACGGGUGCGUAACACGUGGGUGAUCUGCCCUGCACUUUGGGAUAAGCCUGGGAAACUGGGUCUAAUACCGAAUAGGACCACGCGCUUCAUGGUGUGUGGUGGAAAGCUUUUGCGGUGUGGGAUGGGCCCGCGGCCUAUCAGCUUGUUGGUGGUGUAAUGGCCUACCAAGGCGACGACUGGUAGCCGGCCUGAGAGGGUGACCGGCCACACUGGUACUGAGAUACGGACCAGACUCCUUCGGGCGGCAGCCGUGGGGAAUAUUGCACAAUGGGCGCAAGCCUGAGGCAGCGACGCCGCGGGAGGGAUGGCGGCCUUCGGGUUGUAAACCUCUUUCAAUAGGGACGAAGCGCAAGUGACGGUACCUAUAGAAGAAGCACCGGCCAACGAC
rnacentral:rRNA from 1 species